ACGGGUGAGUAAUAUAUCGGAACGUGCCCAGUAGUGGGGGAUAGCCCGGCGAAAGCCGGAUUAAUACCGCAUACGACCUACGGGUGAAAGCGGGGGAUCGCAAGACCUCGCGCUAUUGGAGCGGCCGAUAUCAGAUUAGCUUGUUGGUGGGGUAAAAGCCUACCAAGGCGACGAUCUGUAGCUGGUCUGAGAGGACGACCAGCCACACUGGGACUGAGACACGGCCCAGACUCCUACGGGAGGCAGCAGUGGGGAAUUUUGGACAAUGGGCGCAAGCCUGAUCCAGCCAUGCCGCGUGUGGGAAGAAGGCCUUCGGGUUGUAAACCACUUUUGUCAGGGAAGAAACGGCUCUUACUAAUAUUAGGAGCUAAUGACGGUACCUGAAGAAUAAGCACCGGCUAACUACGUGCCAGCAGCCGCGGUAAUACGUAGGGUGCAAGCGUUAAUCGGAAUUACUGGGCGUAAAGCGUGCGCAGGCGGCUAUGCAAGACAGAUGUGAAAUCCCCGGGCUCAACCUGGGAACUGCAUUUGUGACUGCAUGGCUAGAGUACGGUAGAGGGGGAUGGAAUUCCGCGUGUAGCAGU
rnacentral:rRNA from 2 species